AUUGAACGCUGGCGGCAGGCCUAACACAUGCAAGUCGAGCGGAUGAAGGGAGCUUGCUUCCGCAUUCAGCGGGCGACGGGCGGGUGAUUCAUGGGUAUAUGCCUGGCAGUGGGGGAUAGGGUGCGAAAACGGGCGCAAUUACCGUAUACGUGCAGAGGGCGAAAGGGGGGAAUCAUGGGACCUCACGCCAUUAGGUGAGCCUAGGUCGGAUUAGCUAGUUGGUGGGGUAAAGGCCAACCAAGGCGACGAUCCGUAGCUGGUCAGAGAGGCUGAGCAGUCACACUGGAACUGAGACACGGUCCAGACUCCUACGGGAGGAAGCAGUGGGGAAUAUUGGACAAUGGGCGAAAGCCUGAUCCAGCCAUACCGCGUGGGUGAAGAAGGUCUUCGGAUUGUAAAGCACUUUAGUUUGGAAGGAAGGGCAGUAAGUUAAUACCUUGCUGUUUUGACGUUACCAACAGAAUAAGCACCGGCUAACUUCGUG
rnacentral:rRNA from 1 species